rnacentral:tRNA from 1 species
GCGCCGGUGGUGUAAGGCGAACAUCGCUGCCCGGAAAGCAGAAGAUGCGGGUUCGAGUUCCACCUGUCGCA